rnacentral:ncRNA from 1 species
AAUAAAUUUAUAAUAUCAUUUUAUAUAUGCUUGAAAUAUGGUCGAGCGUUUCUACAAAUAACCUUAAAUUAUUUUCUAUAAAAUGAGUCAUAUAACAA